rnacentral:rRNA from 1 species
CAAUACACGAGCGGCGGACGGGUGAGUAACACGUGGGAACAUGCCUUUCGGUUCGGAAUAACGCAGGGAAACUUGCGCUAAUACCGAAUGCGCCGGUAACGGGAAAGAUUUAUCGCCGAAAGAUUGGCCCGCGUAGGAUUAGCUAGUUGGUGAGGUAAUGGCCCACCAAGGCUACGAUCCUUAGCUGGUUUGAGAGAACGAUCAGCCACACUGGGACUGAGACACGGCCCAG